rnacentral:lncRNA from 1 species
GGAAUGAUGACCACAAUAUAUUUUAAAAGUUCAAAAAGUGAUUUAAAAUGAACAACUCACAAUAGAGGACUUAGGAACAUAUAUGUAAUGGGUCAUAUCUACUUGACUAUAAAAGGGAUGAGAUUCCCUUCUGUAUUUGCAAUCUCCCCAGCAGUUUGCCUGUGUUGUGCAUUGAAUUCUGCUUUAAUUCUUACUCAGUAAUAAACAAUUUACUUUCUCUUCCACUAGUGGGGAGAUUUUUCUGGGUUGCAGGAGGUUUUGUUCUAAUUUUGUUUCACCAACACAAGGCAUCCACCACCAGGGAGAAGGGCCCCCAUUGCCUGGCACCCACAUUCCCUCCAUGUAGGAGAAUUUUCAGGGAAGUCAAAUUAUCUCUAGAAGAUUCCCCGGCAAAUGUUACAUGUUGAGUUGUGUCCCCAGCCCCCCUAAAAAAACAAGAACAAAACACACUAGAGUCCCAACCCCAGCACCUCGAAUAGAAACUUAUUUGAAGAUAGUCUAUAGGGUGAUUGGGUUAAAUGAGGUCUUCAGGGUGGUCCCUAUUCCGAUAUGACUGUUAUCCUUAUAAAAAGGGGAAAUUUGGUCAUAGAGAGGGAAGAUGUCAUAAGGAGACAUAAAGAAAAGGAGAAAGACCUAGAACAGAUUCUUCCUCCACAGCCCUCAGAAGGGGCCAAUCCUGACAACUGGUACCUGAAUUUGGGCUUCUAACCCCUUCUAGAACUUUGACACUUUAACUUUCU